rnacentral:rRNA from 1 species
UUAGCGGAAAGUAGCUUGCUACUUUGCCGGCGAGCGGCGGACGGGUGAGUAAUGUCUGGGGAUCUGCCUGAUGGAGGGGGAUAACUACUGGAAACGGUAGCUAAUACCGCAUAACCUCGCAAGAGCAAAGUGGGGGACCUUCGGGCCUCACGCCAUCGGAUGAACCCAGAUGGGAUUAGCUAGUAGGUGGGGUAAUGGCUCACCUAGGCGACGAUCCCUAGCUGGUCUGAGAGGAUGACCAGCCACACUGGAACUGAGACACGGUCCAGACUCCUACGGGAGGCAGCAGUGGGGAAUAUUGCACAAUGGGCGCAAGCCUGAUGCAGCCAUGCCGCGUGUGUGAAGAAGGCCUUCGGGUGUAAAGCACCUACAUGCCAAAAAACCA